rnacentral:rRNA from 1 species
AGCAGCCGCGGUAAUUCCAGCUCCAAUAGCGUAUAUUAAAGUUGUUGCAGUUAAAAAGCUCGUAGUUGAAUUUCGGGAUUGACGUGAUGGUCGUGCCUUAAGGGGUAUGAACUGUUGCUGUUGAUUUCUCACCUUCUGGAGAAACUUGAUGUCCUUAAUUGGGUGUCUUGCGGAUCCAGGACCUUUACCUUGAAAAAAUUAGAGUGUUUAAAGCAGGCAUUUUGCUCGAAUACAUUAGCAUGGAAUAAUAGAAUAGGACGGCAUGGUUCUAUUUUGUUGGUUUCUAGGAUCACCGUAAUGAUUAAUAGGGAUAGUUGGGGGCAUUAGUAUUCAAUUGUCAGAGGUGAAAUUCUUGGAUUUAUUGAAGACUAACUACUGCGAAAGCAUUUGCCAAGGAUGUUUUCAUUAAUCAAGAACGAAAGUUAGGGGAUCGAAGACGAUCAGAUACCGUCGUAGUCUUAACCAUAAACUAUGCCGACUAGGGAUCGGAUGA